rnacentral:rRNA from 1 species
CCUACGGGUGGCAGCAGUGAGGAAUAUUGGUCAAUGGACGAGAGUCUGAACCAGCCAAGUAGCGUGAAGGAUGACUGCCCUAUGGGUUGUAAACUUCUUUUAUACGGGAAUAAACUGUUCUACGCGUGGGAUUUUGUAUGUACCAUAUGAAUAAGGAUCGGCUAACUCCGUGCCAGCAGCCGCGGUAAUACGGAGGAUCCGAGCGUUAUCCGGAUUUAGUGGGUUGAAAGGGAGCGUAGGAGGAUUAUUAAGUCAGUUGUGAAAGUUUACGGCUCAACCGUAAAAUUGCAGUUGAAACUGGCAGUCUUGAGUACAGUAGAGGUGGGCGGAAUUCGUGGUGUAGCGGUGAAAUGCUUAGAGAUCAAGAAGAACUCCGAUUGCGAAGGCAGCUCACUAGACUGCAACUGACACUGAGGCGCGAAAGUGUGGGUAGCAAACAGGAGUAGAUACCCCAGUAGUC